CCCACAAACAGAAUUUUAGUUCAACUUUAAAUUUACCUAAAAAAAAUAAAAUUUUAAUGUAAAUUUAAAAUAUAGUCUAAGAAGGUACAGCUUCUUAGAAUAAGGAUACAACCUUUAUUAGAGAGUAUAUACUGACACCACCAUAGUUGGCUUAAAAGCAGCCACCAAUUGAGAAAGCGUUCCAGCUCAACAAACAACACAACUUAAUCCCAACCAUAUUACAUCAACUCCUAAUUAUACCUCCUGGGUCAUUCUAUUUAAAUAUAGAAGCAACAAUGCUAGUAUGAGUAACAAGAACUAUUUUCUCCCCGCAUAAGCUUAUAUCAGGAACGGAUAGACCACUGAUAGUUAACAAUCCGAUAAUAUUAACCCAAAAAUGAAAUACUUAUCUACACUAUUGUUAACCCAACACAGGCAUGCAUUUAAGGAAAGAUUAAAAGGAGUAAAAGGAACUCGGCAAACACAAACCCCGCCUGUUUACCAAAAACAUCACCUCCAGCAUUCCUAGUAUUGGAGGCACUGCCUGCCCAGUGACAUUUGUUUAACGGCCGCGGUAUCCUGACCGUGCAAAGGUAGCAUAAUCAUUUGUUCUCUAAAUAGGGACUUGUAUGAAUGGCCACACGAGGGUUUAACUGUCUCUUACUCCCAAUCAGUGAAAUUGACCUUCCCGUGAAGAGGCGGGAAUACCACAAUAAGACGAGAAGACCCUAUGGAGCUUUAAUUAACUAACCCAAACCUAUGGAUACUACAUACCUACAAGGCAUAACACAACACCAUUAUUAUGGGUUAGCAAUUUAGGUUGGGGUGACCUCGGAAUAUAAAAAAACUCCCGAGUGAUUAAAAUUUAGACCCACAAGUCAAAAUACAACAUCACUUAUUGAUCCAAUAGUUUUUGAUCAACGGAACAAGUUACCCUAGGGAUAACAGCGCAAUCCUAUUCAAGAGUUCAUAUCGACAAUAGGGUUUACGACCUCGAUGUUGGAUCAGGACAUCCUAAUGGUGCAGCAGCUAUUAAGGGUUCGUUUGUUCAACGAUUAAAG
rnacentral:rRNA from 1 species